UCAAGUUAUUAAGGGUGCAGGGCGGAUGCCUUGGCACUAGGAGCCGAUGAAGGACGUGAUAAGCUGCGAUAAGCUUCGGGGAGUUGCACGUAAACUUUGAUCCGAAGAUUUCCGAAUGAGGAAACUCACUUAGAGUAAUGUCUAAGUAUCAUUAAGUGAAUACAUAGCUUAAUGAGGGGAACUCAGGGAACUGAAACAUCUAAGUACCUGAAGGAAGAGAAAGAAAUUCGAUUCCGUAAGUAGCGGCGAGCGAACGCGGAUUAGCCCAAACCAAUAAAGUUUUCUUUAUUGGGGUUGCGGACAUAUCAUAACGAAGAGGUAUCGUAAUUGAAGAGGUUUGGAAAGACCCACCACAGAAGGUAAUAGUCCUGUAUGUUAAACGAGAAGACUUUAGAUAUGAUCCAGAGUACCACGGGACACGUGAAACCCUGUGGGAAGCAGGAGGGACCACCCUCCAAGGCUAAAUACUACCUAGUGACCGAUAGCGUAUAGUACCGUGAGGGAAAGGUGAAAAGAACCCCGGGAGGGGAGUGAAAUAGAACCUGAAACCCUGCACUUACAAGCUGUGGAAGCACAUUUCUUGUGUGACCGCGUACUUUUUGUAGAACGGGCCAACGAGUUACGUUAAGUAGCAAGGUUAAGCACUUAAGGUGUGGAGCCGUAGCGAAAGCGAGUUUUAACUGAGCGUUCAGUUACUUGACGUAGACCCGAAACCGGGCGACCUACCCAUGAGCAGGAUGAAGCGAAAGUAAAAUUUCGUGGAGGUCCGAACCCACGAGCGUUGAAAAGCUCGGGGAUGACUUGUGGGUAGCGGUGAAAUUCCAAUCGAGCCCGGAGAUAGCUGGUUCUCCCCGAAAUAGCUUUAGGGCUAGCCUCAAGGUGAGAGAUACGGAGGUAGAGCACUGAAUGUCCUAGGGGGUAUUGCACCUACCGAAGACUAUCAAACUCCGAAUGCCGUCAUCUUAUACUUGGGAGUCAGACUGUGGGUGAUAAGAUUCAUAGUCGAAAGGGCAACAGCCCAGAUCGUCAGCUAAGGUCCCUAAAUGUAAGUUAAGUGGUAAAGGAUGUGGGAUUGCACAGACAACCAGGAUGUUGGCUUAGAAGCAGCCACUCAUUCAAAGAGUGCGUAAUAGCUCACUGGUCGAGUGAUCCUGCGCCGAAGAUUUCCGGGGCUAAAACUUACUACCGAAGCUACGGCAUCAGUAAUGAUGGGUAGGGGAGCUUCCCAUACGGGUUGAAGCAUGACCGUAAGGACAUGUGGACAGUAUGGGAGUGAGAAUGUUGGCAUGAGUAGCGAGAUGUGGGUGAGAAUCCCACAGGCCGUAAACCCAAGGUUUCCAGGGGAAGGUUCGUCCGCCCUGGGUUAGUCGGGACCUAAGCUGAGGCCGAAAGGCGUAGGUGAUGGACAACAGGUUGAUAUUCCUGUACUACCGAUAACCGUUUGAGAGAAGGGAUGACACAGUAGGAUAAGCUAAGCACACUGUUGGUUAUGUGUGCCCAAGCAUUGAGGCAGUCAAAGUAGGCAAAUCCGCUUUGAUAAUGCUGGGAUGUGAUGGGGAGCGAAAUUUAGUAGCGAAGUAGCUGAUUUCACACUGUCAAGAAAAGUCUCUAUCGAGGUUAAAGGUACCCGUACCGCAAACCGACACAGGUGGGUGAGGAGAGUAUCCUAAGGCCAGCGAGAGAACUGUUGUUAAGGAACUCGGCAAAAUGACCCCGUAACUUAGGGAUAAGGGGUGCCACCAUCAGGUGGCCGCAGAGAAUAGGCCCAAGCGACUGUUUACCAAAAACAUAGGUUUCUGCUAAGUCGCAAGACGAUGUAUAGGAGCUGACGCCUGCCCGGUGCUGGAAGGUUAAGGGGAUCUGUUAGAGCAAUCGAAGCAGUGAACUUAAGCCCCAGUAAACGGCGGCCGUAACUAUAACGGUCCUAAGGUAGCGAAAUUCCUUGUCGGGUAAGUUCCGACCCGCACGAAAGGCGUAACGAUUUGGGCACUGUCUCAACAACAGACUCGGUGAAAUUGUAAUUCCGGUGAAGAUGCCGGAUACCUGCGACAGGACGGAAAGACCCCAUGGAGCUUUACUGUAGCUUGACAUUGGGUCUUGGUACUACAUGUACAGGAUAGGUGGGAGGCUUUGAAACCAGGACGCCAGUUUUGGCGGAGCCAUCCUUGGGAUACCACCCUUGUAGUACUGGGACUCUAACCAUAGGCCAUGAAUCUGGUCUUGGGACACUGUCAGGUGGGCAGUUUGACUGGGGCGGUCGCCUCCCAAAAGGUAACGGAGGCGCUCAAAGGUUCUCUCAGUACGGUCGGAAAUCGUACGUAGAGUGUAAAGGCAAAAGAGAGCUUGAUUGCAAGACAUACAGGUCGAGCAAGGAUGAAAAUCGGACUUAGUGAUCCGGUGGUUCUGCGUGGAAGGGCCAUCGCUCAACGGAUAAAAGCUACCCUGGGGAUAACAGGCUUAUCUCCCCCAAGAGUCCACAUCGACGGGGAGGUUUGGCACCUCGAUGUCGGCUCAUCACAUCCUGGGGCUGUAGUAGGUCCCAAGGGUUGGGCUGUUCGCCCAUUAAAGUGGUACGCGAGCUGGGUUCAGAACGUCGUGAGACAGUUCGGUCCCUAUCCGUCGCAGGCGUAGGAAAUUUGAGAAGACCUGUCCUUAGUACGAGAGGACCGGGAUGGACGUACCUCUGGUGUACCAGUUGUCCUGCCAAGGGCAUGGCUGGGUAGCUAUGUGCGGAAUGGAUAAGCGCUGAAAGCAUCUAAGCGCGAAGCCAACUUCAAGAUAAGAUUUCCCACCGCAAGGGUAAGACCCCAGAAAGACUAUCUGGUUGAUAGGUCGAAGGUGUAAGUGCAGCAAUGUAUUUAGCUUAUCGAUACUAAUAGGUCGAGGACUUGACCAA
rnacentral:rRNA from 2 species